GGUGUCUCUGGAUGUGUCUGUGGGGAGGUCAAGCUGCUGCUACAGGGAAUGCGAGGUAAGAAACCAAGCCCCUACUACUGAGGCUGGGCAGUGUGAGUUCUCUUCUUUCUACUUGUGCCGUAGCAGGACCCGGAAGUGCCACCGGAGCGGGGCAGCCUGUGCGCAGUGCCUGAGGCAUCUCCAGCCACAGCAGGGCUCCAGUCUGAGCCUGGGGGACCAGGCAUCACUGACCCUUUUGAUCCCUACUCAGGUGCUCAGCUGCCCCAGGGAGCCACCGCUGGAGCCCAGGCCAUGCCCCACUGGAGCAGAACUGAUUUCAGCCAGUCCCCAGAUGGAUGAGUCCCUGCAGAGCUCAGUCCCUCCUCGCAGAAGACAUUGUAGUCAAAGACCUAAUGAUCUUGAACAGGCUUCCUCCCAGGAGAAGGAACCUGAACAUCCUAGGGUCCUUU